AAAUUGAAGAGUUUGAUCAUGGCUCAGAUUGAACGCUGGCGGCAGGCCUAACACAUGCAAGUCGAGCGGUAGCACAGAGAGCUUGCUCUCGGGUGACGAGCGGCGGACGGGUGAGUAAUGUCUGGGAAACUGCCUGAUGGAGGGGGAUAACUACUGGAAACGGUAGCUAAUACCGCAUAAUGUCGCAAGACCAAAGUGGGGGACCUUCGGGCCUCAUGCCAUCAGAUGUGCCCAGAUGGGAUUAGCUAGUAGGUGGGGUAACGGCUCACCUAGGCGACGAUCCCUAGCUGGUCUGAGAGGAUGACCAGCCACACUGGAACUGAGACACGGUCCAGACUCCUACGGGAGGCAGCAGUGGGGAAUAUUGCACAAUGGGCGCAAGCCUGAUGCAGCCAUGCCGCGUGUGUGAAGAAGGCCUUCGGGUUGUAAAGCACUUUCAGCGGGGAGGAAGGCGGUAAGGUUAAUAACCUUAUCGAUUGACGUUACCCGCAGAAGAAGCACCGGCUAACUCCGUGCCAGCAGCCGCGGUAAUACGGAGGGUGCAAGCGUUAAUCGGAAUUACUGGGCGUAAAGCGCACGCAGGCGGUCUGUCAAGUCGGA
rnacentral:rRNA from 1 species